GGGACCGAUCCGCAAGAAGCCGCUGCCGGCGGCGUGUAAAUAUCCGAGUUUGGGCCGAGAUCACCUCGGGGCCGCGGUGGCAGAGCGGGAAGGUGACACAGAGCUGUGGGGAGCGGUUCGGCCGAGCGCCGGGGCAGCAGAGGAAUGAUUUUCAAAAGGAAUCCAUGCAGUGAAUGUGAUGAACCACCAACCUGCCUGAUGCUACUACCCCAACUCUGUCCUUCAUCAGAUUAAGUUCUUACUUCAGUGAGCAGCAGCAGAAAGAAGGAAAACUUUUUUAACCACCUAUCCCCAGCUGAGGAACUUUCUGCUCCACUUAAUACAGAGUGUUUCUCUGUCUCCUUGCAGAAAAAUAAUGGCUAUUAGGUAACAGAAAAACAGCAUCCAGACAUGUGAAACCAGCUGAUGGAGGUGGCACAUUCUAAAAAAUGAGGAUUAACUUGCCUGACUGGAUCUCACAGACAUUUGAUAAUCUGGUAUCAAG